GAAAGCUAAUACCGGAUGGUUGCCUGAACCGCAUGGUUCAGGCAUAAAAGGUGGCUUCCGGGCGGCUACCACUUACAGAUGGACCCGCGGCGCAUUAGCUAGUUGGUGAGGUAACGGCUCACCAAGGCGACGAUGCGUAGCCGACCUGAGAGGGUGCACACUGGGACUGAGACACGGCCCAGACUCCUACGGGAGGCAGCAGUAGGGAAUCUUCCGCAAUGACGGAGCAACGCCGCGUGAGUGAUGAAGGUUUUGGGCGGACGGCCGGAUCGUAAAGCUCUGUUGUUAGAACAAGUGCCGUUCAAAUACACCUUGACGGUACCUGUGGAACCAGAAACGGCUAACUACGUGCCAGCAGCCGCGGUAAUACGUAGGUGGCAAGCGUUGUCCGGAAAUUGGGCGUAACUCGCAGGCGGUUUCUUAAGUCUGAUGUGAAAGCCCCCGGCUCAACCGGGGAGGGUCAUUGGAAACUGGGGAACUUGAGUGCAGAAGAGUGGAAUUCCACGUGUAGCGGUGAAAUGCGAGAGAUGAGGAACACGAAGGCGACUCUCUGGUCUGUAACUGACGCUGAGGAGCGAAAGCGUGGGGAGCGAACAGGAUUACCCUGGUAGUCCACGCCGUCACGAUGAGUGCUAAGUGUUAGGGGGUUUCCGCCCAACUCCGGAGAU
rnacentral:rRNA from 1 species